rnacentral:rRNA from 1 species
CGGAUUGAAGGCUGAAAUUGCCUUCAUGAAGCUGGAAUUGCUAGUAAUGGCAGGUCAGCAUACUGCCGUGAAUACGUUCCCGGGCCUUGUACACACCGCCCGUCACACCAUGAGAGUUGGAAAUACCCGAAGCCUGUGAGCUAACUUAAAGAGGCAGCAGUCGAAGGUAGAGCCAAUGAUUGGGGUGAAGUCGUAACAAGGUACC